rnacentral:rRNA from 1 species
CCUACGGGGGGCAGCAGUGGGGAAUAUUGCACAAUGGGCGCAAGCCUGAUGCAGCCAUGCCGCGUGUAUGAAGAAGGCCUUCGGGUUGUAAAGUACUUUCAGCGGGGAGGAAGGUGUUGUGGUUAAUAACCGCAGCAAUUGACGUUACCCGCAGAAGAAGCACCGGCUAACUCCGUGCCAGCAGCC